rnacentral:rRNA from 1 species
CCUACGGGAGGCAGCAGUGAGGAAUAUUGGUCAAUGGACGAGAGUCUGAACCAGCCAAGUAGCGUGAAGGAUGACUGCCCUAUGGGUUGUAAACUUCUUUUAUAAAGGAAUAAAACGAGGCACGUGUGCCUUUUUGCAUGUACUUUAUGAAUGAGGAUGGGCUAACUGCGUUCCAGCAGCCGCGGUAAUACGGAGGAUCCGAGCGUUAUCCGGAUGUAUUGGGUUUAAAGGGAGCGUAGAUGGGUUGUUAAGUCAGUUGUGAAAGUUGGGGGCUCAACCGUAAAAUUGCAAUUGAUACUGGCAGUCUUGAGUACAGUUGAGGUAGGCGGAAUUCGUGGUGUAGCGGUGAAAUGCUUAGAUAUCACGAAGAACCCCGAUUGCGAAGGCAGCUUACUAAACUGCGACUGACAUUGAUGCUCGAAAGUGUGGGUAUCAAACAGGAUUAGAUACCCCAGUAGUC